AUGGUUCCUCUUGGGGUUGGCAUGCAAAGCAUGAAUGAAGAUCUUCAUGCAGAAUUCUUGUUGCUUACACUUGUCCAAGAUGUCAAUAUAAAUCUUCGGGUUAUCUUCAAGCAUGUGGUUUUUUGUAAGCUCAAGUGCAGUAUCACGGUAGAGGCCAAGAAGACAAUAGUCUAUAGGCUCCCGCACUGGCCAACAAUAUUCUUUGGCUCGUGCUAUGUUAUCUUUGAAUGUCAACAUCAGUGCACCAGCUAUGCGACCAAACAUGCUGAAAGCAUUUUUGGUCUCCUACUCUCCUCCCAUCUAGAUACCCAGUCAUCAUCAAGUUUGAGGAUAACAAGGAUCUGGCCAUCUUGGCUCAUCAAACGAUCUUCAAUUUUGUCCAUGAUUCCUUUGAUCUGGAGCUGGUCUUUCGUCGUGCACUCUAUUUCCCGAAUCUUUGCUAUGGUUUCUUCAAUUAGAGCAUCCGGAAUACAAUCUGACAUUGUAUACCAUCAACUGUAUCUAUUUCUUCACAGAUUUGUCUUCCUGCAGAUCAGCUGGACCUGGUUUCUUCGUGGAUUUGUCUUCCUGCAGCUAAGCACCUGGUUUGUGCACGGAUUUCUCCUGAAGGACCUUGCGGAUCAUUUCUUUGAUUUGAUCCUCGACCAAUAUAAUGGUGCUAGUGGUGCUGACGGCGGUGGCUUGCUCCUGGAUCUGUGGGCGCUUCUUGGUGGUCACCUGGGGGAACACCUCCCUUAG
rnacentral:rRNA from 1 species